UACGUAGGGGGCAAGCGUUAUCCGGAUUCACUGGGUGUAAAGGGAGCGUAGACGGCGACGCAAGUCUGGAGUGAAAGCCCGGGGCCCAACCCCGGGACUGCUCUGGAAACUGCGGCGCUGGAGUACGGGAGGGGCAGGCGGAAUUCCUGGUGUAGCGGUGAAAUGCGUAGAUAUCAGGAGGAACACCGGCGGCGAAGGCGGCCUGCUGGACCGUGACUGACGUUGAGGCUCGAAAGCGUGGGGAGCGAACAGG
rnacentral:rRNA from 1 species